GACGAACGCUGGCGGCGUGCUUAACACAUGCAAGUCGAACGGUGAAGCGCCUUCCUUUUUGGUGGGUGUGGAUGAGUGGCGAACGGGUGAGUAACACGUGAGUAACCUGCCCCCUUCUUCUGGAUAACCGCAUGAAAGUGUGGCUAAUACGGGAUAUUCUGGGUCUGUCGCAUGAUGGGUCUGGGAAAGAUAUUGUUUCGGUGGGGGAUGGGCUCGCGGCCUAUCAGCUUGUUGGUGGGGUGAUGGCCUACCAAGGCGGUGACGGGUAGCCGGCCUGAGAGGGUGGACGGUCACACUGGGACUGAGACACGGCCCAGACUCCUACGGGAGGCAGCAGUGGGGAAUAUUGCACAAUGGGCGCAAGCCUGAUGCAGCGACGCCGCGUGAGGGAUGGAGGCCUUCGGGUUGUGAACCUCUUUCGCCAGUGAAGCAGGCCUGCCUCGUUUGUGGGUGGGUUGACGGUAGCUGGAUAAGAGGCGCCGGCUAACUACGUG
rnacentral:rRNA from 1 species